rnacentral:rRNA from 1 species
GGUGGGGUAAUGGCCUACCAAGGCGACGACGGGUAGCCGGCCUGAGAGGGUGACCGGCCACACUGGGACUGAGACACGGCCCAGACUCCUACGGGAGGCAGCAGUGGGGAAUAUUGCACAAUGGGCGCAAGCCUGAUGCAGCGACGCCGCGUGAGGGAUGACGGCCUUCGGGUUGUAAACCUCUUUCAGCAGGGAAGAAGCGGAAGUGACGGUACCUGCAGAAGAAGCGCCGGCUAACUACGUGCCAGCAGCCGCGGUAAUACGUAGGGCGCAAGCGUUGUCCGGAAUUAUUGGGCGUAAAGAGCUCGUAGGCGGCUUGUCGCGUCUGAUGUGAAAGCCCGGGGCUUAACCCCGGGUGUGCAGUGGGUACGGGCAGGCUAGAGUGCAGUAGGGGAAAUUGGAAUUCCUGGUGUAGCGGUGAAAUGCGCAGAUAUCAGGAGGAACACCGGUGGCGAAGGCGGGUCUCUGGGCCGUUACUGACGCUGAGGAGCGAAAGCAUGGGGAGCGAACA